CCCUUAGAUGUCCUGGGCUGCACGCGCGCUACACUGAUGUGUUCAAUAAGCACCUAACCUACUCCGAAGGGACUGGGUAACCUUUGCAAAGCACAUCGUGAUGGGGAUAGAUUAUUGCAAUUAUUAGUCUUGAACGAGGAAUUCCUAGUAAGCGCAAGUCAUCAGCUUGUGUUGAUUACGUCCCUGCCCUUUGUACACACCGCCCGUCGCUCCUACCGAUUGAGUGAGCCGGUGAAUACUUCGGAGUGUGAACUCUACAGUUUCUGUUUUGUUCGCGCAAAGUUGAAUAAACCUUAUCACUUAGAGGAAGGAGAAGUCGUAACA
rnacentral:rRNA from 1 species